GGAAGCUAGCUAAUAUGCUAAAGCGCUAAGCUAAAAAUUAGCUCAGCUUUUAGCGGGUUAGCAGA